rnacentral:rRNA from 1 species
AGCUCCAGUAGCGUAUAUUAAAGUUGUUGCAGUUAAAAAGCUCGUAGUUGGAUUUCUGGUCAGACAUGCCUGGCCCGCCGGGGUCACCCGUGUGAGUGCCGGUGCGCGUCUACCAUCCUUCUGGAAAACGGCCUUACCCUUCACUGGGCCGAGGUCGCGAUCCAGAUCUUUUACUUUGAAAAAAUUAGAGUGUUUAAAGCAGGCUUACGCUGUGAAUACAUUAGCAUGGAAUAAUAAUUUAGGACUUUGGUCUCUAUUUUGUUGGUUUCUAGAGCUGAAGUAAUGAUUGAUAGGGAUAGUUGGGGGUGCUAGUAUUCAGCGGCCAGAGGUGAAAUUCUUGGAUUCGCUGAAGACUAACUUAUGCGAAAGCAUUCACCAAGGAUGUCUUCU